UUCACAACAAACUGAUGCAAUAUAUGCAGUUCACCCCCCUAGCUCACAUUCUUCCCCCCCCAUACAUGUUGAAAGUCAGCCUUCCCAUGAUAAUGAUCUGCACAGUAAAAGCACUUUUCUGGAAAAAGUAUGGAAAGAGGAUCUGAUGGCUGCUCUUGUAUCUGUUCCCUUGCAUCCCACCCUGCAGACCUCGGUCCAAGGGGAAGCUUGGGGAAUUUACUUGCAGCUUUCAAGGCUGAUACCAGCAGCCUGAUUUAACUGCAGCAGAGGCUGUGGAUCGAGCCAGACCAGAAAGUGUCCUUCCUGUGUGCGGCCUGCAAGUUGUUUCACUGCAACCUUAGCCACGGCUUGAACAGAUGUGUCCCUGAAGUCACACUUCUAAGGUCCUGCAGCAUCCACUCCCAAGAUCACUGCUGGGCAAACAUGAAAGGAUCAGCUCUCUCUGAAGUGGGUAAUGCAUUCACUUGUGUGAUAGAUGUGAGAUGAUGCACAUUUAAAGGUAAUAUUUGACAAGAUUUAAAAGUCAGUGGUGCGUGUCUCAGCUGGAUGGCCGAUGGCCAGUAUGUAACCUGCCUUCUCAGCUCCAGAACCCUUGCUGUCUUUCCCAGUUGCUGUGACUUUCUAUCACCUGGGAGGCUUUCCCUGCAGAAUGCCCUGACAUUGACUUAGGAGGGUCUGUUGUCUCUGUCCUUCCUUACAGUGUUUGGUCAUAGAAGAGGACACUAACUAUAAAACACCAUUAGUGGUAGUGAGAAUAGAAAAAUACUUCCCAGCCCCUUUGGCUUUACAAAUAAAGGAGAAACCCUAGAAGAACAAAAAAAAAAAA